GAUGAACGCUGGCGGCGUGCUUAACACAUGCAAGUCGAACGAAGCACUUUAUUUGAUUUCCUUCGGGACUGAUUAUUUUGUGACUGAGUGGCGGACGGGUGAGUAACGCGUGGGUAACCUGCCUUGUACAGGGGGAUAACAGUUGGAAACGGCUGCUAAUACCGCAUAAGCGCACGGCAUCGCAUGAUGCAGUGUGAAAAACUCCGGUGGUAUAAGAUGGACCCGCGUUGGAUUAGCUAGUUGGCGAGGUAACGGCCCACCAAGGCGACGAUCCAUAGCCGACCUGAGAGGGUGACCGGCCACAUUGGGACUGAGACACGGCCCAAACUCCUACGGGAGGCAGCAGUGGGGAAUAUUGCACAAUGGGCGAAAGCCUGAUGCAGCGACGCCGCGUGAGCGAAGAAGUAUUUCGGUAUGUAAAGCUCUAUCAGCAGGGAAGAUAAUGACGGUACCUGACUAAGAAGCACCG
rnacentral:rRNA from 1 species